UACGUAGGGACCGAGCGUUGUCCGGAAUCAUUGGGCGUAAAGAGCGUGUAGGCGGCUUGCUAAGUCCUGCGUGAAAUCCCUCGGCUCAACUGAGGAACUGCCUUUGAAACUGUUCGGCUUGAGGCCGGGAGGGGGUAGCGGAAUUCCCAGUGUAGCGGUGAAAUGCGUAGAUAUUGGGAGGAACACCAGUGGCGAAGGCGGCUACCUGGACCGGUUCUGACGCUGAGGCGCGAAAGCGUGGGUAGCAAACAGG
rnacentral:rRNA from 1 species